rnacentral:lncRNA from 1 species
GUUGGCUUUUUCGAUGCUGUGACCAAAUCACCCAGCAAGAACAAUUUAGAAGAGAAAACGUUUAUUGGGGGCUUACAGUUGCAGAGGUCUCAGUCCAUAGAUGACUGACUCUAUCACUCUAGGCCCAAGGUAAGGCAGAACAUGAUGGUAGAAGGGCCCAGUGGAGAAAAGCUGCUCAGCUCAUGGCAGAGAGAGAGAGAGAGAGAGAGAGAGAGAGAGAGAGAGAGAGAGAGAGAGAGAGAGAGACACCUCAGGAAGAACAACCCUUCCAAGUGUGCCUUGUGACCCGCCAUCUCUAGCCAUACCCAUCAGCCUACAGUUACCACCCAGUCAGUCCAUGGACCACAUUUUGAGUAGGAAGACUCUAGUGCAUAUAAAGUCAGGUUCACUGAAUGAUAUUUUCAUUGGUGUAAGAUCUAGGGGGAGCACAUUUUUUUUAUACCUAGCAGUGGGAGAGAGAAACCCCUCAUCAUACUUGUACAAGUGGGGUCUAGCAGGAUAUUUUAGAAUAUGAGAUCCUGAUAUCUAUUUCAUUCUAGACUUAUAGAACUUCAGCUAAAACUGAGAAGAGAAAGCCAUUUACAGCAAUGUAUUUGAAUCAUUUUUAUUAAUAAAAAAUUUACUUAUGAAAAUGGAAAAAUAUAACCAAAGUAGAAAAAAUCAUUAUAAAUAUUAAUUUUCAAUGUGCUGAACAAUGACUUUAAAAAGUCAUAUUUAUAUCACCCCUGAAAGUUGCUUGUGCUUCUUUUCAGUAAGUCCCUAGUGCUCUGAUUUUUAAUCUCUGUUCCUUAGAUUCUUUUGCUCCAGAACUUCAUACAAAUGGCAUGGAAUCAAACAUUAUGAACUCUUCAUGUCUGGCCUCUUUCAUUCAACUUAAUGUUUUUGACAUUUAUCCUGGCUGUAUCAUUAUUAGUUUAUUCCACCCCCUACCCCGGAUUCCAUUGCUUAGAUAUAUGACAAUUUAUUUAUCCGUUCAUCUGUUGAUGAACAUCUAUGUUGUUUCCAGUUUUUAAUUAUUAAAAUUAAAACUGCCAGGAAUACUGUUGUACAAGUCUUUUUGUAGACACAUGCUUUCAUUUCUCUUGAAUGAAUAACUCCAAGUGAAUUUACUGAGACAUACAGUAGGUGCAUGUUUAAAUUUAUAAGAAACUGCCAAAUAGGUUUUCAAAGUGGUUCUACCAUUUUAUACUCUCACUGGCAAUGUAUGAGCCUUGAUUUUUACUAGCAUUUGACAUUCUUAGCCUUUUCACUUUUAGUCAUUAUAAUAUGUGUGAGGGGGUAUCUCCUGGCAGUCUUAAUCUAUGCUUCUCUGAUGACUCUUGACCAUCUUUCCCAUG